rnacentral:ncRNA from 1 species
AAGGGGGAAGCUGAAAACCCUGACAAUCGAGUAGGCA